UACUGUGAUCAAAGAAGACGAAAAACCUACCAGACUGACCAGAGAAAGAUGACCCGAAAGACCGCCCAGCACUAUCAGGAA
rfam:Punica granatum cultivar Dabenzi scaffold665, whole genome shotgun sequence.